rnacentral:rRNA from 1 species
UACGAAGGGGGCUAGCGUUGCUCGGAAUCACUGGGCGUAAAGCGCACGUAGGCGGAUCUUUAAGUCAGAGGUGAAAUCCCAAGGCUCAACCUUGGAACUGCCUUUGAUACUGGGGAUCUCGAGUCCGGAAGAGGUGAGUGGAACUGCGAGUGUAGAGGUGAAAUUCGUAGAUAUUCGCAAGAACACCAGUGGCGAAGGCGGCUCACUGGUCCGGUACUGACGCUGAGACGCGAAAAGCGUGGGGAGCGAACAGG